AGCAAACGCUGGCGGCGUGGCUAAGGCAUGCAAGUCGAGCGGACAAUUCUACUGGGUAACCGAAAGGAUUGUUAGCGGCGAAAGGGUGAGUAAUGCAUGGGUAACGUACCUUGGACACGGGGAUAGCCGGCCGAAAGGCCGAGUAAUACCCGAUGACAUCUUUAUGGCACAUGCCAUUUAGAUCAAAAGAUGGCCUCUACAUGUAAGCUAUCGGUCUGAGAGCGGCCCAUGUCAUAUCAGCUUGUUGGUAGGGUAACGGCCUACCAAGGCUAAGACGUGUAGCUGGUCUGAGAGGAUGAUCAGCCACAUCGGGACUGAGACACUGCCCGGACCUCCACGGAGGGCUGCAGCGACGAAUAUUCCGCAAUGCGCGCAAGCGUGACGGAGCGACGCCGCGUGUGGGACGAAGCCCCUCGGGGUGUAAACCACUGUCAGGUUCCAGCAAGCAAAGGGAGCAAAUAGCUUCCGGCGUUGAGCAAGACCACAGGAAGCCACGGCUAACUCUGUGCCAGCAGCCGCGGUAAGACAGAGGUGGCAAGCGUUGCUCGGAAUUACUAGGCUUAAAGAGUGCGUAGGCGGCCAGGCAAGCGUUUUGUGAAAUCCCUCGGCUUAACCGAGGAACUGCUUGACGAACUGCCUGACUUGAGGCGUGUAGAGGCCGAUGGAACUCUGGGUGGAGCGGUGAAAUGCGUAGAUAUCCAGGGGAACGCCAGUGGCGAAAGCGAUUGGCUGGGCACGUCCUGACGCUGAGGCACGAAAGCGUGGGGAGCAAACGGGAUUAGAUACCCCGGUAGUCCACGCCGUAAACGAUGUGCACUAGGUUCGAGGACUUCUGACAGUUUUCGGGCCGAAGGGAAACUGCUAAGUGCACCGCCUGGGGAGUACGGCCGCAAGGCUA
rnacentral:rRNA from 1 species